UUUUGGCAAGAAUGAUGAAUCAAUUAGAUGUGUGAAAGGAUGAACUCUCUCGUGAACUCAACCUUUGAGGCAUACUAAUCAUACUGACUUGCCAUUC
rnacentral:snoRNA from 1 species